rnacentral:rRNA from 1 species
ACGGGAGGCAGCAGUGGGGGAUAUUGCACAAUGGGGGAAACCCUGAUGCAGCAACGCCGCGUGAGGGAAGACGGUUUUCGGAUUGUAAACCUCUGUCCUUGGUGACGAUAAUGACGGUAGCCAAGAAGGAAGCCACGGCUAACUACGUGCCAGCAGCCGCGGUAAUACGUAGGUGGCAAGCGUUGUCCAGAAUUACUGGGUGUAAAGGGAGCGUAGGCGGGAGAGCGAGUCAGAUGUGAAAUCCACAGGCUUAACCUGUGGCGUGCAUUUGAAACUGUUUUUCUUGAGUGAAGUAGAGGCAGGCGGAAUUCCGAGUGUAGCGGUGAAAUGCGUAGAUAUUCGGAGGAACACCAGUGGCGAAGGCGGCCUGCUGGGCUUUUACUGACGCUGAGGCUCGAAAGCAUGGGUAGCAAACAGGAUUAGAUACCCUGGUA